rnacentral:rRNA from 1 species
GGAUAACCUACCCUUAGGACCGGGAUAACCUUGGGAAACUGAGGAUAAUACUGGAUAGGCAAUUAUUCCUGUAAUGGUUUUUUGUUUAAAUGUUUUUUCGCCUAAGGAUGGGUCUGCGGCCGAUUAGGUAGUUGGUUAGGUAAUGGCUUACCAAGCCUUUGAUCGGUACGGGUUGUGAGAGCAAGAGCCCGGAGAUGGAACCUGAGACAAGGUUCCAGGCCCUACGGGGUGCAGCAGGCGCGAAACCUCCGCAAUGUGAGAAAUCGCGACGGGGGGAUCCAAGUGCCAUUCUUAACGGGAUGGCUUUUCUUUAGUGUAAAAAGCUUUUGGAAUAAGAGCUGGGCAAGACCGGUGCCAGCCGCCGCGGUAACACCGGCAGCUCUAGUGGUAGCAAUUUUUAUUGGGCCUAAAGCGUCCGUAGCCGGUUUAAUAAGUCUCUGGUGAAAUCCUGUAGCUUAACUGUGGGAAUUGCUGGAGAUACUAUUAGACUUGAGACCGGGAGAGGUUAGAGGUACUCCCAGGGUAGAGGUGAAAUUCUGUAAUCCUGGGAGGACCGCCUGUUGCGAAGGCGUCUAACUGGAACGGUUCUGACGGUGAGGGACGAAAGUUAGGGGCGCGAACCGGAUUAGAUACCCGGGUAGUCCUAACUGUAAACGAUGCGGACUUGGUGUUGGGGUGGCUUUGAGCUGCUUCAGUGCCGAAGGGAAGCUGUUAAGUCCGCCGCCUGGGAAGUACGGUCGCAAGACUGAAACUUAA